AGUGCCCUACGGGAGGCAGCAGUGGGGAAUAUUGCACAAUGGGGGAAACCCUGAUGCAGCGACGCCGCGUGAGUGAAGAAGUAUUUCGGUACGUAAAGCUCUAUCAGCAGGGAAGAAAAACCGGCCUUAGGGCCGCCAGACGGUACCUGACUAAGAAGCCCCGGCUAACUACGUGCCAGCAGCCGCGGUAAUACGUAUGGUGCAAGCGUUAUCCGGAUUUACUGGGUGUAAAGGGAGCGCAGGCGGUGCGGCAAGUCUGAUGUGAAAGCCCGGGGCUCAACCCCGGGACUGCAUUGGAAACUACC
rnacentral:rRNA from 1 species